UACGUAGGGUGCGAGCGUUAAUCGGAAUUACUGGGCGUAAAGCGUGCGCAGGCGGUUCGUUGUGUCGGCGGUGAAAGCCCCGGGCUCAACCUGGGAAUGGCCGUUGAAACUGGCGAACUGGAGUGUGGCAGAGGGGGGUGGAAUUCCGCGUGUAGCAGUGAAAUGCGUAGAGAUCAGGAGGAACACCCGUAGCGAAGGCGGCACUCUGGGCCGAUACUGACACUGAGGAGCGAAAGCGUGGGGAGCGAACAGG
rnacentral:rRNA from 1 species